CUAUUCUAUGGGCAGGCCAGGUUGGUGCAAGGCAGCUUUGCCAGAUUUAGUGUGUUUCACCCUCGUUGAAUUUUAUAUCUUAUAAAAUCGUAUAAUUUUUUUUUUAGAUUAUUAACAUAAUGGUAAGAAAAAGAGGAUGCAUAUUACAAUACUAUUUUUGCGUUGUAUGAAAAUUUCUGUUGCUCCAUAUACAAUUUUUAGUCAAGGCCCCCCGCCCCUCUCUGGUCCAUGGUGUCCCCUCUUUACCAAUCUGAAAAUCUGGUCACCUUAUACAAGACUUACAAGCGCUGCCUGGUGGGAAGAUGCCCCAUUCUGAAUUUUGCUAUCUUUUUCCUUCCAUUUUUCUAUUGUAUAUUUUUUAACAAAAUAGUUUCAAUGAUUUUAUUGUUAUUUUAUUUUGGGGGCUUAUUGGGGGGUUGUUGAUGUUCCAAUUUUAAUGGCAGCUACAUACAUUGAAUAUAUCACUAAAUAAAAUGUGGUUAACGGAUUUCUUGACUUGAAGUUUCAAUUCCCCUCCCACAAAAGGGGAAGCCUGUUUACAGUGAUAACUGCGGACAACGAGAUACAUUUUGAAAAAGUUGGACAAAGUUUCUUUGAAAUGUGUCACAAGAUUGUUCUCCGACUCUGCUUCUCAGUGCUUUUCUUAAGAGCUGGAGACUGGUGAGGCCCCGCCUCCCCUGCCUCUAGUGACUGCACGUCCCUGGUUCUAGCGGGUCCCUUUCUCUCCUUUGGGGGAACGACAAGGAGGCGGUGCCUGGAGAGGAGGGGCUGGGAAAUGGAGCGCCUUCACUUUCGGAACCAGAGAGCUGACGGAAGGAGCGGUUUUCUUCGGAGGCGGAGAAACCGGAAGACGACGGAGGAGCCCGGCGGGGGAGGGAAGGAAGGAAGCG